GCCGAACAAGUAAUAGCCUCCUCUUCCGCUCCCUUGGCGGGGCGCUCUAGCCCUCCGACCUCGCGGCCCGGCCGCCGAGCUGGCGCCUGCGCGUUGCUGCCGAGUCGUCUCCCGCCCGGUCUCUCCCUCUCUCUCUUCCCCGCCCCCCCCCUCUUCUUCUGCUUAGCUGAAGCGGCGGCGGGUCGCANCCCCCCCUCUUCUUCUGCUUAGCUGAAGCGGCGGCGGGUCGCAGGUUGAGGCGAGGCGGGCGCGGGCCUCCGCCAGCUAUGGACCUGGAGGCGUCCGACGAGACGGGCUCCACUGGAGGAGCCGAGGCGGGAGCCGGAGCCGUCACCCCCGAAGCGGGCGGUUGGGGUUCGCCGCCGGACUCGGCUGCAGGAGGAGUGCUAUGAACUGAACGGUCACUAAAUGAACUGUUGUGAGUCAAGGACUACCUACAAUAUCCAAGCGCCAUUCAUUUGCAUCCUCUGAUUUAAAGCAUCACCAUCUGCUCCUCAUCUAAGAAGGAUUCCAAGGUAGAUGAUAAUGUGUAAUAACAACUAAA
rnacentral:lncRNA from 1 species